rnacentral:rRNA from 1 species
GAUGAACGCUGGCGGCGUGCCUAAUACAUGCAAGUCGAGCGAACAGAUAAGGAGCUUGCUCCUUUGACGUUAGCGGCGGACGGGUGAGUAACACGUGGAUAACCUACCUAUAAGACUGGGAUAACUUCGGGAAACCGGAGCUAAUACCGGAUAACAUAUUGAACCGCAUGGUUCAAUAGUGAAAGGCGGCUUUGCUGUCACUUAUAGAUGGAUCCGCGCCGUAUUAGCUAGUUGGUAAGGUAACGGCUUACCAAGGCAACGAUACGUAGCCGACCUGAGAGGGUGAUCGGCCACACUGGAACUGAGACACGGUCCAGACUCCUACGGGAGGCAGCAGUAGGGAAUCUUCCGCAAUGGGCGAAAGCCUGACGGAGCAACGCCGCGUGAGUGAUGAAGGUCUUCGGAUCGUAAAACUCUGUUAUCAGGGAAGAACAAAUGUGUAAGUAACUGUGCACAUCUUGACAGUACCUGAUCAGAAAGCCACGGCUAACUACGUG